UUAGAGCCAGGUUUCUACCACGAACUUACAAUUAUGGUGCCAACCCAGAUGUCACAUUGCAAUUGUUUUAAUUUUAUUUUCUUAACACCUCGUAUGUUAACUCGUGCUGUGAUACUUACCAGAUAAAGAUCCACCUUUCAAGAAAUUUCGUUGGCCAAGCUGCUUCUUAGUGGUUAUUGCACUUACCCUUGUUGUAUUUCUUUGAAAAACCUUAAAUAGUUUCCUUGCACACAAACUAAUAGCUUGACGUCCUUGUGGGACGACUUUGCCAUGAAAUAUGAUGUUUGAAUCCAACUAUAUGAGAUAUCGUUUAAGGUCAAAGGUUGAAAUUGAGAAUGUGGCUGGAGAGUUCUCUUGCUGGCAGCGCUUUGGCGGGAACCUUACUGAAACGUCCAAAGUUGCAGAUGAACCAGAGGCAGCUAGUGUUGGCUGGGGUUCUGGUGUUGAUCGUGCUGCUAGGUCAUCUACUCAAGGGGAUGGUCAUGGAUGGCAAUGGUUUAAAGAUCCUAGAUUGGAUUGUCUUGGCUUCCGGGGAAUCUUUCCAUCUAAUCAGACACCACCUUUGGUUGAGUCUGACAAAGAAACAAAUGAGAAAAAUUACCAGUUGUGGAGAAUAGAGAACGGAGUUGCUGAAGGUUCAAUUGAGAUUCCAAAAGGUGAAGCAAUUCCACUUGAAUACAAUCUUGCUUGUUUAAAUGCAAUAAGCUUCGACAAGGAUUGCUAUGUGGGGCAAGAGCUUGUUGCUCGCACACACCACAGGGGGGUCAUUCGCAAACGUCUGCUUCCUUUAAUGUUUUUAGAUGAUAGUGGAACAGAGGUGGAGGAAAAAGUUGCUCCUGGCUCAGAAGUGAUAGACACUACAUCCUGCAAGAAGGUUGGUUUUGUGACGGCUGCACUUGGUUGUCGGGGGCUAGGUGUUCUGCGAUUGGAGGAAGCAUGGAAAGGAUCGGGGUCCUUGAUCAUAGAGGGCCAGGAUGAUCUGAAGGUUGAGACUAUUAGACCAAAAUGGUGGCCAGCUGAAUGGUUUCCGGAGCAUCAACAGCAUAGCGCAGUUGCUUAGGAAAUGUUACUUUAGAUGGCAAGGGUUUCCUGCUGCUUAAAUUGAUCAACCCUGCACAUUCUUGGCCUCUUCGCCGGCGGUGCAGGAACCAGGGACUGCAAUAUGUUGAUAAGGAUACUGGAUAACGUGUAGUCAUACAAAAUUGGGAGGGAAUUCAUCAAGGAUCACUGAUAUUAUAGACCUGUAAAGAACAAGCAGUUGCACAAUGACUGCUGUUAUCUAUUCAGACUGGUUAAUGCCAAUGUAACUACCAGGCAAGUCUCUCCAGUAGGUUUGAGUUGCAUUUUGCUUUCUCCAAUCUGUCAUGUGAAUAUUGUUGCUGUUGUAACUAAUUUGUGUUCUGCUCUACGGUGUGAAAUGCUUUUGGCUGGAGAAGAAUUGCUGUAAAUGCAUGAUUAGUUUUACGCUUCUGAUUAGUGGAUUGUGAGAUCAAUCGGGUAGCUGCUGUAAUUAAUGGUCGGCGAAGCCAUUCCACUCUUCACUAGUUUAAACUUGCUGGAGGGUGCCUCUUCUCAGUUAUGCUGUUCGCAGUUAUUGCUUCUCUUGCUUCUUGGCUGGUAUCCAAGGUUGGACAUGUGUGUAGGGAGCUGCAAAUUUCUAUCUGCAUUCCCGAAUAGUGCAUGUUGUGAGUUUGCGUCUCACUGGCAGGUUAGGGCAGGAUUUGGUAGCUACUGUUACAUGUACAUUCGAAUAAAGUUUCUGAUUUUAGUUCGUAUUUGCUGCAGUCUUUUGUAAUUUCUGAUAUUUUGGUUUUGUAAGGUCUACCUUUUCUUUUUUC